AAAUACACAACUCAACACACACAGGUACACACACACCUCAAUACACACAGGUAUACACAACUCAAUACACACAGGUAUACACAACUCAAUACACACAGGUAGACACACAGGUAUACACACUGGUACACACACACCUCAAUACACACAGGUAGACACACAGGUAUACACACCUCAAUACACACACAGGUCUACACACCUCAAUACACACAGGUCUACACACACCUCAAUACACACAGGUCUACACACCUCAAUACACACAGGUAUACACACACUCAAUACACACAGGUAUACACACCUCAAUACACACAGGUAUACACACCUCAAUACACACAGGUAUACACACCUCAAUACACACAGGUAUACACACACCAAUACACACAGGUAUACACACCUCAAUACACACAGGUACAGACACCUGCACUCAAUUCAACUACCGGUAGUGAACACGUGAUCAGAAAUAGUGAAGUCAUGACAGUGUUUUCCUUGCUAUUGUAUCAUACCCCACCUCCCUGUGCAGAUAGGCAAAUGUCUUUAUUCUGUACAUAUCAUAGUCACAACUUCCUUCACAACACUGCCCUUAAAUGAUUGCAUUUCGAAAAGAGAUCUACAUGACCAGAGGUUGUUCUACAUGACCAGAGGUUGUUCUACAUGACCAGAGGUUGUUCUACAUGACCAGAGGUUGUUCUACAUGACCAGAGGUUGUUCUACAUGACCAGAGGUUGUUCUACAUGACCAGAGGUUGUUCUACAUGACCAGAGGUUGUUCUACAUGACCAGAGGUUGUUCUACAUGACCAGAGGUUGUUCUACAUGACCAGAGGUUGUUCUAUAUGACCAGAGGUUGUUCUAUUCUGUUCUAUAUAAAGGUGUGUGUUUGAGAUGGAACAAAUCAACCCUCUUGAACUGAAAUAGGAUGGGGCGGGUAAAAUACAACACACCGUACAGUACCUAGACUUACCAAACACACACUACACACAUACACCCCCCCCCCCGUGGGGUCCAAAUAUUAACCGUGAAACAAGGUCUCUGUGUGUGAUAAAUAAUAUGGGCAUGUGACCUGGUUCAUAUCUCCUCUGUCUAGAUCAGACCACCUCGUCUCUCGAUUGAGACGUCUCUCUCUCUCGGUGUGUGUGUCCGAGACGUCUCUCUCACUCUCUCGGUGUGUGUGUCCGAGACGUCUCUCCCUCUCUCGGUGUGUGUGUCCGAGACGUCUCUCCCUCUCUCGGUGUGUGUGUCCGAGACGUCUCUCCCUCUCUCGGUGUGUGUGUCCGAGACGUCUCUCCCUCUCUCUCGGUGUGUGUGUCCGAGACGUCACUCUCUCGGUGUGUGUGUCCGAGACGUCUCUCACUCUCUCGGUGUGUGUGUCCGAGACGUCUCUCCCUCUCUCGGUGUGUGUGUCCGAGACGUCUCUCCCUCUCUCGGUGUGUGUGUCCGAGACGUCUCUCCCUCUCUCGGUGUGUGUGUCCGAGACGUCUCUCCCUCUCUCGGUGUGUGUGUCCGAGACGUCUCUCCCUCUCUCGGUGUGUGUGUCCGAGACGUCACUCCUCUCUCUCGGUGUGUGUCCGAGACGUCACUCUCUCGGUGUGUGUGUCCGAGACGUCACUCUCUCGGUGUGUGUGUCCGAGACGUCACUCUCUCGGUGUGUGUGUCCGAGACGUCACUCUCUCGGUGUGUGUGUCCGAGACGUCACUCUCUCGGUGUGUGUGUCCGAGACGUCACUCUCUCUGUGUGUGUCCGAGAC
ensembl:lncRNA